rnacentral:tRNA from 1 species
UCGGGACGUGGCGCAGUUUGGUAGCGCACUUGACUGGGGGUCAAGGGGUCGUCGGUUCGAAUCCGGCCUCCCGAC